rnacentral:piRNA from 1 species
AGCCCUGGACAGUAUUAAAACUUA